rnacentral:lncRNA from 1 species
CUCGGGGCAAGCAGGAUAGAAGUUGAGAGCCAUGACUUGCGAGCAGCCAUUGAAUGCCUUGUCGAUGUAAUCCUUUGGAAGAUCCAAGCUCUCGGAGAUGAGCUCCAGGAGGAACUUUGCAAGGUUGCGAACGCGAGUGGAGUAAUCGGCAGUAACUUUCCUAUAAGAUGAUCAUAUACCAGCGAUGUUAAGAAAGGACGGCGAGAAGGUAUUUAUACCUGUAAGAUGCUGGCUUUUCAGGCCAGAGUUCUUGCAUCUCGGCCAGUGGGAGGCAGCUAUGGCGGAGGUAAUCUCUCCAGCUAAAGACCUUGUCUUGUGUGACAUUGAAGCUGGUUCCAUACCUCAUUCGGGAUUCUGUGUCUGUGGAGAAGUAGCGCAUUUUCUCCUCGUUUGCGAGAGCGUGGAAUUCGCGAGCCACCGAUUGCAUUUCAUCCACCAAAGAAUGGGGAACACCGUGAUUGAUCACCUGUAUGGCGAAGAUCACACAAUUCUCGAUCAAUUCUAGACCCAAUGAUUGGAACAAAGAGAUUUUGGGACAUCCAACACCCAGCAAGAGCAAUAGCACACCUGGAAGAAGCCCCAUUGCACGCAAGCUUCACGGAUUUGCGGGACAAGCGCUGCUCGAGCCUCGCUCGAAUUCAAGGCGGCGCCAAGAUCCAAGACUGGGAAGCUUUCCUCGCGAUGAACGGCAUUUGGGCGCUCCUCUUUGGAUUGGAUGUAAAUGCCGGGCAGCUUGUCCAGGCCCGAAUCCACCAGAUUCUUCACACCCAAGUGGAGUGGAAGAACUUCGGUGGCCAUUGUUGAGCUCUUCGCAAAGAUAAGCUUCCUCUGGUUUUAUACUAAAACUUUCUUGGCGAAUACGAAAAAAUAUCUUGGAUUUUCUAGAUUCUAAAAGAGGUUCGGUCAUGUGCGGCUGCUAAGAAGGAACUACGAAUCUAAAAGUUGGCAUAGCAAAAUGAACUACCGCUCAGCGGUCCAGAUGGCAUCACGAAUGGACGGACGUGAUUGCUCUAUUGAUCUCGAGGAUAUUCCAGGGCCAUGCCACGGGCAAAGGCAAUGUCGUCUUCCAGGGCGGAGGCGCCACCGUCGGCGCUCCAGCCCGCGCGGAUUCUCUUCUCCGGAAUCAAGGUACCCGAUCUCUCGCGCCAGUUCCAGCAGCACAAUGCCAUCCCGUCGCUGCUCGAUCGGAUCAAUUCGCCGCUGGCAGCUGCCAGAUCCUUGCUCCAGCGCGUUCUUCCUCCUAGGGCAGCCACAUCCGGCAGGGAGCCACAUCCGGCAGGAGCUGGAAAACUCGGAGAUUUUGGCCACUGCUCGACAGGCUCUAAAGUCGUGUAAAUCGAAUUACGCGCUCACGACGAAAGAGGUCCAAGAGGUGGUUCCACGUAGAAAGGUCUGGUGCGAUUGUGAAAUUGUGAAAUAUAGUGAGAUUAUAUUUUAAUGUAGUGUUGGUACAUUAAUAACUUUUUCUUUCCCUUUUUUUGAAAAGGCUUGGUUGAGGAAAAUAUUUGGCCCAUGCAGGUUUGGAACCUGCGACCUUGGCGUUAUUAGCACCACGCUCUGACCAGCUGAGCUAAUAGGCCUUAAACAAUCAAUGAUGAUUUUAAUUUAAUCAAAUAAAGAAUUUAUGAAGCAAUGAGCGCUCUGGACAGGGUUCGAACCUGUGACUUUCUGGUUACUAUCCACAGACGCUCUAUCCACUAGCUACAAGCGCUUUACAGGUCAACAGAUUUUCAUUAAGUUCAAAUUAUGGUACAAGAUCUCAAAAAUACCUUAUGGAGGAAGCAAAGUCCAUGGCCGCUUGGUGCUGCUUAAUUUGAUGCCCAUUAAGUGACCUUCAUCCUCAGUUAUAAUCUCAACAUCUCUCAUGUCUCUAUUGAGCACACUAGUUAGACAUGAUAUAGCUUCAAUUUGCUUAAGUAGAACCCGGAAAACAAACACGCCCUGAUAAGAAUAGAGAGCUAUUGGAAUCAAAAUAUUGCACCUCUUGAAUAUCAGUCAAGCUUUGCUCAUCAAGUUGGCCUGGUAGAAAGGAUGCAUUUCUCUAUGCUGCAUGAAAUUGACAAGACCGAGUCCACUUUUCUUGGAAGCUCUAUUGUUGGUUGGAGCUAAGAAGGUAAAGAGGAGUGUUUUAGCUAGUUAUGCCUCUAGUUAUGGCCUUUUAGGGGACAAUAUUGUAGCACACAUAGUUUUCACCCUUAAGAUUUACCAUAAGAUAACCAUGAAGUAGAACAUAAACCCUCCAUAUGCCACGUGUUAUAUGCCACAUGCCACAUGCCAUGUGUCCAAAAGACAAUGGAGAAGAACCCGAGUUCAAGGGCCUUGGGCCAUUGAAUGAAGGAACAGUGCUAAACUCUCAAGUAUAGAGCCAAGGAGCAUUAGCACUAGAGCAUAGAACAAUUCCCAAGCAUACAACUUAAGAAGCAAAGGGAUAAGAGCACAAAGUAACUUGAAUCAAUCCUAAAGUAUCCAACAUCCCAAUGCAUGGGCCAACAUGCAAAACAAAGCUAAAUAAAGUUUGGCACUCUUUCAGCAUACUGAUAAUUUAACGCAAGGAUAUGAGUACUCCACUAACUAGCAUGGAAUGGAACUUGGGCUUAAACCCAAGCCAGAUGCAGAACAAGGACAAGCACACAAGCAAGAGCUAAAUUAUGCCUCAGAUUGGUCAGUUAUGCCCACCUACCCACUAUUCCUACUAUGCAUUUGGAACCCCCCAUAUCCCACCCCUCUGAGGAACACAUGCUUUGGGCUUUCACCCCAAAUUUCCCUUAAUACCAGGAGGUAGUCUCUAAGACAAACUUGAAAUUUACUAAAUAUGGAAUGUCCUUAGAUUGCAAAUUUGGAUACGGGACAAACACCAUUGUGUUCAGGAGAAUCUCUACAUUCCGUAGAUAUACCAAAUGAGCAAAUCUAGAUACUUUCCAUAAAUAGCAUUUGGGACCGAAAUGAAACUAACACAAAGGGCAUGAUAGCAAGGGUGUUUGGCAAACACAAUAAGCUAUCAUUUAGCGAUAUUGAGGGAUUAGUUUCAAUAUGUGAGGGUUUUUGUCACUAGCCAGUGCAAGACAUAACGAGACAGAAACUCUUUACUAGGCUAAGUAUGCUUAGUUAAUAACACGUAGGAAUUCUAUCCUUAUACUCGUCCCAUUUAAGUACACUUGAAAUGCCCAGUUAACUCCACUAACACAAAAGGGACUGAUAAAGGGUUCAACAAUACCAACCUCCUGCCGUCAUGGUAGUAAGGAAAGAAUAAUCAAAAGGACAACUGAUAGGUAACUUUCGAUACCUAAAGUUACAUUCACGACAAAUAUAAUUGUAAGUGACUAAUUUUUCCAUUCUACUUUAGUCACUUAACCACACCUCCGACCACUUGGAGGAGUCUCAUUCACAACCUCCAUAAAUCCAAUUCAGGACUUGGGACUUGCUAGCCCCAAGAAUGGCAUCCAUGCCACUCAACCCUUGCACCUGGUCCAAGUGCUCCACAUGUCCGAUCCUAUGACCGACACUCAAAGGUACCACCGACAUAGUAGCCUGUUACGCUAAGGCCAUGCCCAAUCACCUUUGCCGCAUUGGUAGUCCAAUACCACUUGCAACACAGUCUUGUCUCUCCAAGACUGGGCCAACCAUCCAUGAGUGGUCAUCCCAGAUCCACUCCUUAGCAUCCUUAGGAUGCCCACCGACAAGGGGAAUCGCCUUCCCCAAAGUCCCUUUUCUGGUCCCCACCAAGUCCCUUUCUGCCCACGGCCGUGUUCACCAACACUACCACUGAAUCGAGGCCCACCGGCCCGACCACUAAGUCCCACGGUCCUCUGGGACUUCCUCACCACACGACUGUGUCCUUGGUCACUACCCCAGAGGACUGCUCCUCUUCCUUUCCACAGGCUGGGCCUUUGGGACAACAUUUCGGAACACCGUGGCCUUACACGAGCCACCUGGGUACUCUCCCCGCCUUUCGCCUUUAGGUGCUCUAGCCAUGGGCUUAGAGCGAGGUUCCGUUGAGCCAUAUCUGGUAUCCAAGUAGGUAGUGCCACCCACACUUGGACUGGGAGCAUCGGCUAGUCGAUCUCCCGGGGGAACUAGAGCCGGCUCUUGAACACUUCACCAAGCUACCCCGCUUGUCGGUCCGUAUUCACUCUAGUCUUGGACUUCCUAGUGGUCAGUUCAUCACCCAACACUGGGUCUGGCCUUCCUAGGCCAAACUGGCCUUUCCUAGCCAAACUGGCUCCACUGCAGUCCUCCCCCUUACUAUACUUUUGGAGCUCACCAAACCCCCUAUGGUCUGGGAGAUGAACACUUUGGGCUUUCACCCUCUCAGACUCGGACUCGGACUCGGACUCGGGCUUGGGCUCGGCCUCCGCCUCAGUCUCGGUCUCAGUCCUGGUCUCGGUCUUGGUCUCGGUCUCAGUCCCGGUCUCGGUUCCGGUCUCGGUCCUGGUCUUGGUCCCGGUCUCAGUCCCGAUCUCGGUCUCGACCUUGGACUUCAUCUCGGGUCCUUCUCGGACUCCAUCUUGGAUUCCAUCUCGGGUCCAUCUCAGACUCCAUCUCGGUCCAUCUCGGACUCCAUCUCGAACUCCAUCUCAGACUCCACUUCGGACUCCAUCUCGGACUCCACUUCGGACUCCAUCUCGGACUCCAUCUCGGACUCCACCUCGGACUCCACCUCGGACUCCAUCUUGGACUCCAUCUCGGUCCAUCUCGGACUCCAUCUCGGACUCCACCUCGGACUCCACCUCGGACUCCAUCUUGGACUCCAACUCGGGUCCAACUCGGACUUCAUCUUGGACUCCACCUCGGACUCCACCUCGGACUCCAUCUCAGACUCCAACUCGGGUCCAUCUCGGACACUUCCACGUGUCAUGUGUUGGUCCUUUUGGGUCCCUUUUUGGAGUUUCACUUAUUGCUCGCUUCGUGCUUGUUCCUUGAGCAAUUUGUUGGGAGUUCCACUCCCACUCUCGACCUUCCAAGUUGGAGCUUUUAGUCCAAAUGUGUUACGCUCGUUUGGCUUUCGCUUCAGCCACUACCACGUGGCACCCUUUCCAGCUCCACUUUGGGGCCUAGGGAUUUUGUGUCUCACAUAAUGUUUUGGAAUUUCUUAUAAUAAAGAUGCCUUCUAAGAAUUUAGGUUCUAGGUUAGGAAAAGUAGUCUUCUAACCACAUUGGAGGCAAUCUUUAUUGAAGAGGCAUUGGCUCUUAGAAGCUUGGUAGAGCUGUUUUUUCUCCUCCUCCCUUCCAAAGGCAAUGCUCUCAAAUAAUAUUUUGACUGUUUUAAUUUCUUUAUUAAUUAAAUCCUAAAAUUUCCCUUCUAAUAGCAUGUUGUAUAUUAUGUAUAUUAGAACUCCAAAUAAAUAUGAAGAAUUAAAUAAGCCCAUCCUUCCAACAAAGCUUCCAAUUCACAGAACAAUGCUAUUUCCAAUUUAUUUGAAUGAUAGAUAAAAGAAUCCUCAAAUAAUCACUAAAAGCUGUGGUGAGGGGAGGUGAGGACUUCCAAGGAGAUGAAAGAGCCUCUUUAGCUAUAACAAGGAAACCUUCUUGGUGAAGAGUGCUUCCUAUUAAACACCAUCCUAAUUCACUCUCUCUCUGCUUACCUAGUAGUGAUAUGGCAUGAUGCUUUCUUUUUGUUUUUUCCUCUAGCGCACUCCCUCUCCCAUCCGUCUCUGCUGCACACUCCUGCCCAUGGCUAUUGCCUGCCCACCCGCUCGCCCUCAACUUGCCCACCCACACAUCUGCCUGUGCCCAACGUGCACCCUAAUUAUUUCCACGUGGCCACAACCCCAACACUUAGCCAAAUUUCAAUUAGCAUGCUCUGUUCCACGUGGUUAGUUGCCCCAUAAUUGACCUAAAAAAGUUUCCAUUCACGCCUACACCUUGUUCCACAUGGUUAGUUGCCCUAUAAUUGACCUAAAAACAUUUCUGUUUCUUUUAUGAUCAAGCAUGGUGGCAGGAUAUCAAUUUCUAGAGGUAAGCAAUCAAUUCAACUUCAUAUUAAUUCAAGAAAAUCAUUCAGGAUCCCCUAUGGCUUGAUGAGGUGUAAGAAUUCCAUGAAAAGGAUUAUUUUUAUGCAGAUGAUUUAGAUUGGAAUUUAUCUAAAUCAAAUGAAAUUAUAGCUUCUAUUGUGUAUAUAUUACAGAAGGAUGUGAAUAGGUUUCUAAAUAGUGAGAAGAGAAGGGGUGAUGGAGUGGAUUUUUUGGCAAUUUUCCAAUAAAAAUCAUGAUCUUGGAGAUAUAAAAUGACCCAAAAACACAAGCUUUUUAUCAUUAAUCAGAUAUAUUUUAACAAAAUAUAAUUACUAACUUCUUGACACAGGUAUUGGUGUGAAUAUGGAAAACAAGAUGCUUAUAAAAAAUCCUCUACAAUUGCUAAAUCUACACCAAAGUCAGGACUUGGAAGUAGAUUGGAAGUAGUAGUAGGUCAAAGUUCUACCCUUGCAAUUUUUUUGUCAAACAGUUUUACAAAUGGCUUGAUUAUUUGCAGAUCACAUAUUAUCAUAAAGAGCAUUGUGAUAAGAAUGGGAUUCCCUGUCAUGGUNNNNNNNNNNNNNNNNNNNNNNNNNNNNNNNNNNNNNNNNNNNNNNNNNNNNNNNNNNNNNNNNNNNNNNNNNNNNNNNNNNNNNNNNNNNNNNNNNNNNNNNNNNNNNNNNNNNNNNNNNNNNNNNNNNNNNNNNNNNNNNNNNNNNNNNNNNNNNNNNNNNNNNNNNNNNNNNNNNNNNNNNNNNNNNNNNNNNNNNNNNNNNNNNNNNNNNNNNNNNNNNNNNNNNNNNNNNNNNNNNNNNNNNNNNNNNNNNNNNNNNNNNNNNNNNNNNNNNNNNNNNNNNNNNNNNNNNNNNNNNNNNNNNNNNNNNNNNNNNNNNNNNNNNNNNNNNNNNNNNNNNNNNNNNNNNNNNNNNNNNNNNNNNNNNNNNNNNNNNNNNNNNNNNNNNNNNNNNNNNNNNNNNNNNNNNNNNNNNNNNNNNNNNNNNNNNNNNNNNNNNNNNNNNNNNNNNNNNNNNNNNNNNNNNNNNNNNNNNNNNNNNNNNNNNNNNNNNNNNNNNNNNNNNNNNNNNNNNNNNNNNNNNNNNNNNNNNNNNNNNNNNNNNNNNNNNNNNNNNNNNNNNNNNNNNNNNNNNNNNNNNNNNNNNNNNNNNNNNNNNNNNNNNNNNNNNNNNNNNNNNNNNNNNNNNNNNNNNNNNNNNNNNNNNNNNNNNNNNNNNNNNNNNNNNNNNNNNNNNNNNNNNNNNNNNNNNNNNNNNNNNNNNNNNNNNNNNNNNNNNNNNNNNNNNNNNNNNNNNNNNNNNNNNNNNNNNNNNNNNNNNNNNAGGGAAAUUUGGGGGGAAAGCCCAAAAGCAUGUGUUCGUGCAGAGGGGGGGGUUGUGGGGGGUUCCAAAUGUAUAGUAGGGAUAGUGGGUAGGUCGGGCAUGGCCGACAAACCUGAGGCAUAGUUUAGCUCCCGCUUGCGUGCCUAUCCUUGUUCUGCGUCCGGCUUAGGUCUAAGCCCAAGUUCCAUUCCAUGCUAGCUGGUGGAGUACCCAUGUCCUCGCGUUAGGCCACCGGUAUGCCGAAAUAGCGCCAGACUCCGUUUGGCUCCAUUUUGCGUGCUGGUCCUGGCAUUGGGAUGCUGGUUGCUCUAGGACUGUUCCAAGUCGCUCCGGGCUCUUGUCCCUUCGCUCCUUGGGCAAUAUGCUCGGGAGUUGCUCCGUGGUCCGGUUCCAUCACUCCUUGGUGUCACGCUUGGGAGUUUGGCACCGUUCCUUCGUUCAGUGGCCCAAGGCCUUGAACCUUGGGUUCCUAUGGACACGUGGCAUGGACACGUGGUAUGUGACACAUGGCAUCUGUCACGUGGCACAAAGAGGGUUUAGGUUCCGCUUCGUGGUGUUAUCCUAUGGUAAAUCACCAUAGGAUAAAGGGUCAAAACCACGUGCACUACAUUUGGUAUCAGAGGAAGAGUCUCAGCGAGUACUAUUCAAUGAGAUUGGGCAACUAGUCUCGUUGCAUACGCAGAGAUGAAAACGAUGAUCCAAGUGGGUACACGUUUUGGUGCAAAGACUUCGCAAUUGUUCCUUGGGUAUGGAUUUGGUUACCUUUUUGUUCCAUAUUAUGUGAGCUUGCUCUUGGGCUCAUAGGGUGGACUGAGUUGUUCCGUUACACGAGUUUGCGCUUGGGCUCGUGAGUGAGGCGCAUUAGCAACUCGAGGUUACACUUUGUGUUGGCAGGAUUAAUGUUAGCCUAUCGGUGGUUCCAUGAGUUGUUCCAUGUACCAUGGGUGCAAAUAAACUUUUCUUGGAUUGAACUGAAGGCAGUGCGAAAGCAAGCUUGAGGUUUGGUCAAAGAUGAGACCGAAAAGAGAGUCAUCAGGGACGAAGGAUCAUAUACGUAAAUCAUUUUCUCUUCUUGGAGAGAUGAUCUGCAACGAGGUGUUAACUCAUUGCUUGUGUUCACAUCAUGCAAUCAAGAGUCCCUAUCUUGAUGCAUGUUGGAGAUGGUGGUGUUACAAUGGUGAGUUGUAGGAUGGAUAGUAGUGAAGCGCUAAACCAUUUUGUCUAAGCUUGCUAUUGGAAGACUUGGGUUGCAAUGCUCAAUUCUUUUUCCGGAGAACCUUGUUAUUGCUCCUGGAGUAGCUUGGUGUUGGAUUAGUGUUGAGUUUGGUCGGAAAGAGAGUGGCAUGAGCUUGUCCGUGUUGUGAAAAAAAGUUAGUGGUGUUAAGUGUUGUAAAUCUCUAUUUGAUGGGGUGUGGCAUUUAUGUUGCAUUUUGUCGAAUCGAGUUGGCACUUGAUAUUCACAUAAACCUUUGCAGUAGUGACAUGGGCAUUGCUCAUGGUGUUGCUUGAUUGAUGAUCAAGUCAUUGUGAUUUAUAUCAUAUCCAUGUGAUAAUGAGCAAUGUGUUUACAAAAUUGCUUGGGUAAAUGAUGAUUAACCCCAAAGUGGUUGAUGGAGAAGCUAAUCUACUUGCACGAAGUAGCAUUGUAGUAGCUUUGACUGGAUUCUCAAUGGUGGUCCAUUAUGCUAAGCUUAAGUUGGUACCUUGCUUACUUGAGUUUGCCUAUAAGGUGUUGGAAAAGGGUUAUAGCAUUCACUUUCUAUGACUUGUCGAUUGAUUCGUUAGCACUUGGAGUAGAUUGUUGGAUGGAGAAGAUAUGUAGUUGGGGCAUUGACAUCACUAGCACUUGUGUUAGUGAAAGUGGCAUUGUUAUUUCAAGUGAUGAGGAAUUUUCCUUGGACCCUGAUUUUCCAUGUCAUUUUUCUUGUUAGUGUUUUGACUUCACAUUGAAUCUUGAAGGUGAUUGAAGAAGAGUGUUAAUGCAAUAUAGAUAUCCGAAGAUGUGGUCUUCGUGAUCAAGCCUUGGGUGUUCAUUUUGCAUUUUGCGGAUGUCGGUGUUGGAUAUCGAUUAAAUGGUAGAGAUGUUUGAGGCUUAAGCAUACUAUGGGUCAUGAGAAUUUUGUAAGCUCCUAAAUUUGGACUUCCCGGGAGGUCACCCAGCCCAGUACUAUUCAAACCCAAGGAUGCUUAACCCCAAAUAUCCCAAGACCCUUAACCGAUUGGAAAAGGGGGUGCACUCUUGUUCAUGGGCCCUUUCCCUCUAUAUUUGAACCCCAUGGAUCGUCUCUCAAGUCGUUCCCUUUGGUUGCUUACAAUCCACCACGCUUCCCUGCAAGUUCACGCCCUCGUGAACGGAAGUUGAGAGCCGCAGCUCUCCCGAGAGCCCCGCUCUCUUGACACCCUACCCCUCGGGUCGAGCCCAGCGGGAACAAACUGGACCAGCCAGAUGUCAAUCAACAUGUGGUGUGAUUCCCUUAGCCAACCAACAGAGUCGGACCCGAGACCUCUCUGAUACCAAAUAUAAGCUCCUAAAUUUGGACUUCCCGAGAGGUCACCCAGCCCAGUACUAUUCAAACCCAAGGACGCUUAACCCCAAAUAUCCCAAGACCCUUAAUCGAUUGGAAAAGGGGGUGCACUCUUGUUCAUGGGCCCUUUCCCUCUAUAUUUGAACCCCAUGGAUCGUCUCUCAAGUCGUUCCCUUUGGUUGCUUACAAAUUUGUGUUGAGGUGAACCUAUGUGAAGUUGUUGGUAGGAGGAAGUUGGUUGAGUCUUUCCUGGACUGAGAGUUAUUCUUUCUCUAGGAUGGAAAAUUUUCCACAAAUUUUCUCAGGCUUUUCCAAUGGCUGAUCUAUUGAUCAUUUUGCCCGAAAACCAUUCUGUUUUCGUAAGCCAGUACAAACUAGUGAAGGGGUUAGAGUUGACUUCAGUUAGCUUAGACCCUGGUAGGUAGUUUGUAUGAUGCAGCCUGAAAGGGAUGCUAACUUUUGGGGCUAAAAUAAUUGAGUUGGAUAGAGUCUAGAGUUGGUGUAGAAAAGUGGCCGUUGCACUUUUCUCAGAAGGGUGACCCUUGUGCCCUUCUUUUAUAGUGUUUUGCUUGGUGGCAGGUUGCACCUUGCAUUUCGCUAAGACUCUAUGAGAGUAGUGAGCUCUCACUGAUCUUGACUUAGUCUUGGUAGCCCUGUGCCUUGGCUAAGGAUGGUGAUGUCCAACUUAGUUGUUUGAGGUUGAGAUGUUGGUACCCAUACUAUAGCUUUGUCUAUGAGGAGGUUGUGUACCGAUAUGAGUCCAUCUUAUGGUCUUCACUUUAGUUUCGACUGAGUGUUGAUUGUAUAGCCAGCCUCUUCAAAGGCAUGCUCAGAGUUAGUAGCUAAAUGUUUUAGUGAGCUUAUUGCGGUUGAGUUGGAUUUGAGUGGUCAUUUAGUUUGUGCUUGUCUAUGAACUUUUAUCUCGUACCUGGGGUAUCACGUUCAUAUUGGGCAAGUAUAUAACUUAAUGACAAGAGUUGGUGUUUGGGUCUUGUGAAGGCAAGUUGAGGAGUGAUUGUUAGUUGCUUUGCGACUAGUGAUUACUUGUGGACUUCGUCAAGGACUUUUGACACUUGCUUUGCUCGAUGAUGAUUUAGCGGUGAUGGGCUUGCUUUACCAGAUGGUGUUGCGGAGGAUCAUGUCAUUAGGCUAGUAUGGUUUUUUUUCCAUGUUGGCAUAUCAAUUCCUUUGUUGAUAUCAUUUGGUUACGUUUGGUCUAUAGUGUUGGAUUUCAUUGAGUCUUGGAUGUGGUGAUUCACUCCUUGAUGAUGUGUUAUUUGUCACUGAGUUUUGCUGAAGGAUUGGUCUCGGAUACUAAGUAUAGUAUCUUUGACUUUGGUUAGCUUGGUUGCUGGAAAGCUUCAAGUGGUGAAUCACUCUUGCUUUCUUCUAGCUUUGUUAUGGUGUUGAUGGCAUUGAAGUGAUGCCUUGUCAUUGACAUUGUUGAUGUUGAGAUUCAAAGUGAAAUGAGAUGUCUCUCCUUAGGAUUAAUAUUGAGUUUCAUUAAUCUUAAUGAAGAUAGUGUUGAUGAUUUGGCUAUGGCUUUGUGUUGUUGGCAUUCAUGCAUUUGCUAGUUAGCAACUGUGUUGACGUUCAAAUGAACUGAGUGGCAAGUUGAGUUAGUUGUGUUCUAAACGAGAUUAUUUAGUAGGGGUUGAGCUUUGAGCUUUUCCUUGAAAAGUGAUUUAGUCAUGGACUAUGCUAACUCUACAAGUGGGAGAGUUAGUGAUCAAUGUUGGAAUAUUUUGAAUCCUUAUGGGAUUUUAGUUGAAAUAUAUCAAUCAUUGAUGAUUCUUCUUGUGCUUGCUAUGAAGUGAGUUACGUCUUGCUAUAGAUGGAUUCAUGGAGGAUCAUUUAGUGAUCACUUGUUGAGCAUAGCUCCAUUGUGCUUAGCUUUUGGAUUGAUGCAGAAAUACUCUUCAUUAGCUUUGGCAUUAUGAAGUUUGGCUUAUGGAUGUGUUGAAGAAGACAUUAUGGGUUGCACCAUGAUUUCUUUUUUAGCAUUGAAGUUAGCUUCUAUGAGACUCGUGAUCAUUAUUAAGCAAGACUUGGCUAUAGGCUUCUUCGAGCUUUGGUUCUUUGAGUUUUAUGCUCAUUGUUCCAUUUGUUAGAAGUUGUUGGGGAAGGCAUUUUGGCUCAUUAGUUUUGAUGUUGAAGUUGGCUUUGCAUCUGGCAAUCAUUGGUGAUGAUUGACUAUCAUCUAGGGUAGUUGAUUGUCCUUAUCACAAGUUUUGCUUGAUUAUUGUUGGUUUGGAAUUAUUUGUUAUUCUUCGGGAUGGUAGAUUCUUUCUUCAAUGAUGAUUAUACAUCACUACAUUGAUGGGUUAAUUGACGAUCUUUCAUGAUAGUUGGUUGUUCUCUUUGAUGGCUUUUGGCUUUUCGCAAUACCACAUGUUCUUUGUGGUUUGCUCUGGAUUGGUCUCUUGGGUUUGAGACGUCAGUAGGAUGUUGUUGACACUUGCUUAGGCAACUUGAGUUCCUUGGUAUUGUUGGCUGGGAUCUAUUCAGAUUGGCUUUUGUGAUUGUUGGCAGGCAUGAGUGUUUGUUGGUCUUACCACAUUCAUUCUCUUCUGUUGAUUGUUGCUCGAGUUAGUUUUGAUAGAUUUGGAUGUUAUUUCCUUUGGGUGAUACAUUUGCGAGCAUUGUGCUUGUUAGUCAAUGAUACUUUGUGUUCUUUGAGUUCUCUCUAAUAAGUUGUUGGCUUACUGUCUACUAUCUUCAGUAGUUAAAUUUCAUCAUUGAGUUUCCUUGAUGAUAUAUACUAGCUAUUGAAUGUUGUUGGAUGGUGAUUCCUAUGUUUACCAAUUAUAGUGAUCUUGGUGGUUCCUAUCUACAAUACUACUGGUUUAUCAGAUGAUAACUUGCUUAGAAUACUUUUGUGUUCUACUCUAAGAUAUAAUCACUAGUAAUUAAGCUUCUCAGAUAUCAUUGUCUCUGACUUUGAUAUUGUCCAUUUAUUGAUCUUUGAGUUUGGGCCAGUAUAGGCAGAUUGGCUUCGGCACUUCGUGUGCAUGUUGAAAUCUUUAGUCAUGGGGUAGCUACUAUCGACUGGUCACAUAACCCGCCUCUCUAUCGAUGUUCUUUAUUCCGUUAAAAGGGCGUGACCGUGUAAACAACUCUAACUGCCUGUUUACAGUAGUCUAUCUAAACCUUAUCGACGGGUUUGGUUUCUUUGCUUAGAAGGGUUGGGGCCUCUGGCUUCUCUCUCUAUGUUCCUGCGGGCAGGGGUAUAUCACACUUUUGUAAGCUAGAUGACUCCCAGAGCAGCAAGGGUGGCUGACUCUAUUGGUCAUUUCUUUGUCGGCGACGGCCGAAAGGUGUUUGAGCUGGUAGCGCAUCCGCGUUAGACAUUGAGGUUGCCCCCUAACUCAUUUAAGUUGGUGCAUUUCUUACAUAGUGUGAGUACCGUGAACUUUUUCUGGAGUUGUUUCCUUGGCAGUAUUCUAGACUCAAGUAUGCAUCGACAAGGACGUCGAUCUUCCCCAAGGGGGGGAGAGUGUCGCAAAUGUGACUUCGGGUAUCGAAAGUUACCUACCGACCAGUCCUUACGGACACUCUUUCCUUAUUGCCAUGACGGUAGGAGGUCGGUACUGCUGGUUCCCAUCAUUAGCCCCUCUUGUUCAAGUGUUAGUUUACUGGGCUUAGCACCUGUACUUAGCCAGAUGGACAUAAGGUAGGAACUCCUAUGUGUUUCUAGCUGAGCAUACUCGGCCUGGCUUUUAGUUCUCUUUUGCUCUGCCUUGCACUGGCUUGACAAGAACCCUCGCGUAUUGAGAUUGGUCCCUCAAUAUCGCUGGAUGAUAGCUUACCAUGUCUGCCAAACACCCUCGCUAUCAUGCCCUUUAUGUUGGUCUCAUUUCGGUCCCAAAUGUUAUUUAUGGAAAGUGUCCAGAUUUGCUCAUUUGGCAUAUCUACGGAAUGUAGAGAUCGGCCUGAACACAAUGGUGUUCAUCCCAUGUCCAAAUUCGCAAUCUAAGGACAUUCCAUAUUUAGUAAGUUUUGAGCUUGUCCCAGAGACUAACUCCUGAUACUAAGGGAGGCUUGGGGUGAAAGCCCAGAGCGUGUGUUCCUCAAGGGGGGGGGGGGGGGCUGUGGGGGGUUCCAAAUGUAUAGUAGGGAUAGUGGGUAGGUCGGGCAUGGCCGACCAACCUGAGGCAUAGUCUAGCUCCCGCUUGCGUGCCUGUCCUUGUUCUGCGUCCGGCUUGGGUCUAAGCCCAAGUUCCAUUCCAUGCUAGCUGGUGGAGUACCCAUGUCCUCGCGUUAGGCCACCGGUAUGCCGAAAUAGCGCCAGACUCCGUUUGGCUCCGUUUUGCGUGUUGGUCCUGGCAUUGGGAUGCUGGUUGCUCUAGGACUGUUCCAAGUCGCUCCGGGCUCUUGUCCCUUCGCUCCUUGGGCAAUAUGCUCGGGAGUUGCUCCAUGGUCCGAUUCCAUCACUCCUUGGUGUCACGCUUGGGAGUUUGGCACCGUUCCUUCGUUCAGUGGCCCAAGGCCCUGAACCUCGGGUUCCUAUGGACACGUGGCAUGGACACAUGGUAUGUGACACGUGGCAUCUGUCACGUGGCACAAAGAGGGUUUAGGUUCCGCUUCAUGGUGUUAUCCUAUGGUAAAUCACUAUAGGAUAAAGGGUCAAAACCACGUGCGCUACAAUAUGAUCCAGCAGAAUUUCACAUCAAAUUAGAUUUAUAAUGAGGAUAUGUAAAUUGUGGGAAGGAACAAGUCAACUGGUGAACCUCCUUGUCGAGAUGAUUUUCUAACUAUGCAGGAUAUUAAUAAUUUACAUAGGAAGCAUUUGCUUUCAACUUAUUGACUACAUGAGAAUUAUGCACAACACGUAUUUAAAAGAACACAAAUCUCAAGAAAGUAUUUUUCUAGUAGGAAGGUGAUUGAGGUAAAGAUUAUUUUACCAUAGGGAUUCAAACACCUUGGCAACCGCAAAAGAUGGUGGACUUUGCAAAUAAUAAUUUGUUGAGUCUUGAUGCAACUUUUAGAACUAAUUAUUACAAGAUAAAAUUUUGGAAUUUCAACAGCACGUUGAUAGUUAUAAUAUAUCCUCCAAGCAAGCAAAACCUUUGGUGGAAAGAAUUACAAGUAAAAGAAAAGCUUCUAGUAGCCUAGAAGCAAUUCCUUUUACUAGGCAAAGGAACAACAAGAAAGAAAAGCUCUUUAAACAAAAAACUUAAUCUUAGCAAAGAAUAAAUUUAUAAAAAAACUCUUUAUGUACUUGCAUUGCAUAUGUUUAAAUUAGUGAGAAGAUUUCAUAGCAAAAGUGGAUCACCACUCCUAUUGUUGAUCAUGGUCAUCCAUGACACUCAUUGGCACGUAAAAAGGCAUCCAUGCAUGUGCUGAUUGAAAUUGGGGUUGUGGCCACUUGGAAAUAAUUAGGGCGCAUGCUAGGCGUGGGCAGGGAGUGCAGGUACGGGCGGGAGUGCGCAGCUGCAACAGAUGGGAGAGGCAUGAUGCCACAUCACUGCCAGGUAAGUAGAGAGAGAGAGAGAGAGAGAGUGAAUAGAGAGAGAGAGAGAGUGAACCAGGAUGGUGUUUAAUGGAAGGCACGAAGAGUGCUUUUAUUUUAGUAGUUAUGGUAUCAUGGAGAUUUUAAGCUUUUUAAGUUUAGAAAGUGCAUUGUGUUCAAAACAGGAGUUUAAUUAACUUCCAUUUCAAAAUCAAAUUAAAUCCUCAGAGUGUCCAAGAGCCACUGGCGAUUAAGUCCCCCAGCUUGCAAAGCCGUCAUAUAAUCCUUAUAAACCAUAGGCUUAAACACUGGAGAGCCCUCCACCAAUUUGCUCGCUGGGUGCACCAAACUCUCCCAAUUUGGCCCCAUUGCCACUGGAAUGGACAUUCGAUCUUCACUGCUAUUAACCACAGCUCUGUGCUCGGCGCUCUUAUACUUGUCAUUGCUCAAAAUCUGCAAGAAAAGAAAAAGAAAACAUUAAUUUUGACCAGUCAGUCAAUGCUAGUAAACGAGAAAGAGCAAACGCUGACCUGGAUCUGCUCGCCCAGAUUGACCACGAACGAGUAAGGUAUGGGCUUCACGGAGUACCACUCGUUAGCGUGCAUCACCUGGAGACCCUCGACGUGAUCUUGGAGCAGCAGCGUGAUCGAUCCGGGGUCCGAGUGUGGGCCGAUUCCCAGCACCAGAUCGGGCUCGGGGCAAGCAGGAUAGAAGUUGAGAGCCAUGAUUUGCGAGCAGCCAUUGAAUGCCUUGUCGAUGUAAUCCUUUGGAAGAUCCAAGCUCUCGGAGAUGAGCUCCAGGAGGAACUUUGCAAGGUUGCGAACGCGAGUGGAGUAAUCGGCAGUAACUUCCCUAUAAGAUGAUCAUAUACCAGCGAUGUUAAGAAAGGAUGGCAAGAAGGUAUUUAUACCUGUAAGAUGCUGGCUUUUCAGGCCAGAGUUCUUGCAUCUCGGCCAGUGGGAGGCAGCUAUGGCGGAGGUAAUCUCUCCAGCUAAAGACCUUGUCUUGUGUUACAUUGAAGCUGGUUCCAUACCUCAUUCGGGAUUCGGUGUCUGUGGAGAAGUAGCGCAUUUUCUCCUCGUUUGGGAGAGCGUGGAAUUCGCGAGCCACCGAUUGCAUUUCAUCCACCAAAGAAUGGGGAACACCGUGAUUGAUCACCUGUAUGGCGAAGAUCACACAAUUCUCGAUCAAUUCUAUACCCAGUGAUGGAACAAAGAGAUUUUGGGACAUCCACCACCCAGCAAGAACAAUAGCACACCUGGAAGAAGCCCCAUUUCACGCAAGCUUCACGGAUUUGCGGGACAAGCGCUGCUCGAGCCUCGCUCGAAUUCAAGGCGGCGCCAAGAUCCAGGACUGGGAAGCUUUCCUCGCGAUGAACGGCAUUUGGGCGCUCCUCUUUGGAUCGGAUGUAAAUGCCGGGCAGCUUGUCCAGGCCCGAAUCCACCAGAUUCUUCACACCCAAGUGGAGUGGAAGAACUUCGGCGGCCAUUGUUGAGCUCUUCGCAAAGAUAAGCUUCCUCUGGUUUUAUACUAAACCUUUCUUGGGGGAUACGAAAAAAUGUCUUGGAUUUUCUAGAUUCUAAAAGAGGUUCGGUCAUGUGCGGCUGCUAAGAAGGAACUACGAAUCUAAAAGUUGGCAUAGCAAAAUGAACUACCGCUCAGCGGUCCAGAUGGCAUCACGAAUGGACGGACGUGAUUGCUCUAUUGGUCUCGAGGAUAUUCCAGGGCCAUGCCACGGGCAAAGGCAAUGUCGUCUUCGAGGGCGGAGGCGCCACCGUCGGCGCUCCAGCCCGCGCGGAUUCUCUUCUCCGGAGUCAAGGUACCCGAGGGGGAAGGAGGAGGAGGAAAGAGUCCUUAUCAGCGAGGUUCUUGUCCAAGAUAAAGAUGGGCAGGAGUUGGAAAACUCGGAGAUUUUGGCCACUGCUCGACAGGCUCUAAAGUCGUGUAAAUCGAAUUACGCGCUCACGACGAAAGAGGUCCAAGAGGACGUUCAUCGGAUCAUCGAGACUGGAUUUUUCGCGUCUUGCAUGCGAAGAUAGACGAGAUGGAGUCAGGCUGAUUUUCAAGGUGCUGGCUGCUGAUCCUUCUAUUUUACUUCCCUUUUGCUGCAUUCUCACAAUCUUUUCCACAGGUCGAGGCUAACCAAGAACUUCGUGGCCUUGUUUGCAAUAGCGCAAACGUUCUUCCCACGAAGGUUAUCGAGGAUGCCUUUCGAAACGAGUAUGGUAUGCCAUUUGUUUCUCUUUUCAUCUUUUUCCUGAGUGGGGAAGUAGCAUUAAGAAUGUGUUGCAUUGCUCUUUAAGUUUUGCAGGAAAAGUUGUGAACAUUCAAAGGCUUAACACGGUUCUCGACACUUUGAAUGGAUGGUACCGAGAUAGAGGCUACUUUGCACAGGUAGAUUCUUGCGCAUUCCUUUUUUUUGAGAUGGUUCUAGUGGUAGUACACAGGUGACAGACCUGGAGAUAAUGCCAGACGGUAUUCUCAAAGUACAAUUUGCUGAGGCAGUAGGUAACAACAUCAAUAUACGAUUUUUGGACAGGAAAACGUAAGCUUUUCUAGUCCACGGGAUGUGCAAAGUCAAGGCGCAUGACAAGGUAUAUGCGAAUAAUGUAGCGGACAGGCUCGCCAAGACAGGGCGCCAACUCGAGGGGCGGAAGAUCCAGUGGUUCCACGUAGAAAGGUCUGGUGCGAUUGUGAAAUUGUGAAAUAUAGUGAGAUUAUAUUUUAAUGUAGUGUUGAUACAUUAAUAACUUUUUCUUUCCCUUUUUUUGAAAAGGCUUGGUUAACUAAAUUGUGAGGAAAAUAUUUGGCCUAUGCAGGUUUCGAACCUGCGACCUUGGCGUUAUUAGCACCACGCUCUGACCAGCUGAGCUAAUAGGCCUUAAACAAUCAAUGAUGAUUUUAAUUUAAUCAAAUAAAGAAUUUAUGAAGCAAUGAGCGCUCUGGACAGGGUUCGAACCUGUGACUUUCUGGUUACUAUCCACAGACGCUCUAUCCACUAGCUAGAUUUUCAUUAAGUUCAAAUUAUGGUACAAGAUCUCAAAAAUACCUAUUGGAGGAAGCAAAGUCCAUGGCUGCUUGGUGCUGCUUAAGUUGAUGCCCAUUAAGUGACCUUCAUCCUCUGUUAUAAUCUCAGCAUCUCUCAUGUCUCUAUUGAGCACACUAGUUAGACAUGAUAUAGCUUCAGUUUGCUUAAGUAGAACCUGGAAAACAAACACGCCCUGAUAAGAAUAGAGAGCUACUGGAAUCAAAAUAUUGCACCUCUUGAAUAUCAGUCAAGCUUUGCUCAUCAAGUUGGCCUGGUAGAAAGGAUGCAUUUCUCUAUGCUGCAUGAAAUUGACAAGACCGAGUCCACUUUUCUUGGAAGCUCUAUUGUUGGCUGGAGCUAAGAAAGUAAAGGGGAGUGUUUUAGCUAGUUAUGCCUCUAGUUAUGGCCUUUUAGGGGACAAUAUUGUAGCAUAUGUAGUUUUCACCCUUAAGAUUUACCAUAAGAUAACUAUGAAGUAGAACCUAAACCCUCCAUAUGCCAUGUGUUAUAUGCCACAUGCCACAUGCCAUGUGUCCAAAAGACAGUGGAGUGGAACCCGAGUUCAAAGGCCUUGGGCCAUUGAAUGAAGGAACAGUGCUAAACUCUCAAGUAUAGAGCCAAGGAGCAUUAGCACUAGAGCAUAGAACAAUUCCCAAACAUACAACCCAAGAAGCAAAGGGAUAAAAGCACAAAGUAACUUAAAUCAGUCCUAAAGUAUCCAACAUCCCAAUGCCAAGGCCAACAUGCAAAACAAAGCUAAAUAAAGUUUGGCGCUCUUUUAGCAUACUGAUAGCUUAACGCAAGGAUAUGAGUACUCCACCAGCUAGCAUGGAAUGGAACUUGGGCUUAAACCCAAGCCGGAUGCAAAACAAGGACAGACACACAAGCAAGAGCUAAAUUAUGCCUCAGAUUGGUCAGUUAUGCCCACCUACCCACUAUUCCUACUAUGCAUUUGGAACCCCCCAUAUCCCACCCCUCUGAGGAACACAUGCUUUGGGCUUUCACCCCAAAUUUCCCUUAAUACCAGGAGGUAGUCUCUAAGACAAACUUGAAAUUUACUAAAUAUGGAAUGUCUUUAGAUUGCAAAUUUGGAUACGGGACAAACACCAUUGUGUUCAGAAGAAUCUCUACAUUCCGUAGAUAUACCAAAUGAGCAAAUCUAGAUACUUUCCAUAAAUAGCAUUUAGGACUAAAAUGAAACUAACACAAAGGGCAUGAUAGCAAGGGUGUUUGGCAAACAUAAUAAGCUAUCAUCUAGCGAUAUUGAGGGAUUAGUUUCAAUAUGUGAGGGUUUUUGUCACUAGCCAGUGCAAGACAUAACGAAACAGAAACUCUUUACUAGGCUAAGUAUGCUUAGUUAAUAACACGUAGGAAUUCUAUCCUUAUACUCGUCCCGUUUAAGUACACUUGAAAUGCCCAGUUAACUCCACUAACACAAAAGGGACUGAUAAAGGGUUCAACAAUACCAACCUCCUGCCGUCAUGGUAGUAAGGAAAGAAUAAUCAAAAGGACAAUUGAUAGGUAACUUUCGAUACCUGAAGUUACAUUCACGACAAAUAUAAUGUUUUGGAAUUUCUUAUAAUAAAGAUGCCUUCUAAGAAUUUAGGUUCUAGGUUAGGAAAAGUAGUCUUCCAACCACAUUGGAGGCAAUCUUGAUUGAAGAGGCAUUGGCUCUUAGAAGCUUGGUAGAGCUGUUUUUUCUCCUCCUCCCUUCCAAAGGCAAUGCUCUCAAAUAAUAUUUUGACUGUUUUAAUUUCUUUAUUAAUUAAAUCCUAAAAUUUCCCUUCUAAUAGCAUGUUGUAUAUUAUGUAUAUUAGAACUCCAAUUAAAUAUGAAGAAUUAAAUAAGCCCAUCCUUCCAACAAAGUUUCCAAUUCACAGAACAAUGCUAUUUCCAAUUUAUUUGAAUGAUAGAUAAAAGAAUCCUCAAAUAAUCACUAAAAGCUGUGGUGAGGGGAGGUGAGGACUUCCAAGGAGAUGAAAGAGCCUCUUUAGCUAUAACAAGGAAACCUUCUUGGUGAAGAGUGCUUCUUAUUAAACACCAUCCUAAUUCACUCUCUCUCUACUCACCUAGCAGUGAUGUGGCAUGAUGCUUUCUUUUUGUUUUUUCCUCUAGCGCACUCCCUCUCCCAUCCGUCGCUGCUGCACACUCCUGCCCAUGGCUAUUGCCUGCCCACCCGCUCGCCCUCAACUUGCCCACCCACACAUCUGCCUGUGCCCAACGUGCACCCUAAUUAUUUUCACGUGGCCACAACCCCAACACUUAGCCAAAUUUCAAUUAGCAUGCCCUGUUCCACGUGGUUAGUUGCCCCAUAAUUGACCUAAAAAAGUUUCCAUUCACGCCUACACCUUGUUCCACAUGGUUAGUUGCCCUAUAAACAUUUCUGUUUCUUUUAUGAUCAAGCAUGGUGGCAGAAUAUCAAUUUCUAGAGGUAAGCAAUCAAUUCAACUUCAUAAUAAUUCAAGAAAAUCAUUCAGGAUCCCCUAUGGCUUGAUGAGGUGUAAGAAUUCCAUGAAAAGGAUUAUUUUUAUGCAGAUGAUUUAGAUUGGAAUUUGUCUAAAUCAAAUGAAAUUAUAGCUUCUAUUGUGUAUAUAUUACAGUAGGAUGUGAAUAGGAUUCUAAAUAGUGAGAAGAGAAGGGGUGAUGGAGUGGAUUUUUUCUCAAUUUUCCAAUAAAAAUCAUGAUCUUGGAGAUUUAAAAUGACCCAAAAACACAAGCUUUUUAUCAUUAAUCAGAUAUAUUUUUAACAAAAUAUAAUUACUAACUUCUUGACACAGGUAUUGGUGUGAAUAUGGAAAACAAGAUGCUUAUAAAAAAUCCUCUACAAUUGCUAAAUCUACACCAAAGUCAGGACUUGGAAGUAGAUUGGAAGUAGUAGUAGGUCAAAGUUCUACCCUUGCAAUUUUUUUGUCAAACAGUUUUACAAAUGGCUUGAUUAUUUGCAGAUCACAUAUUAUCAUAAAGAGCAUUGUGAUAAGAAUGGGAUUCCCUGUCAUGGUUAAUUUGAUUUGAAUGGAGGAAAGUCAUUAUUUCCUCAGCAGAUAUUUGACAUUGGGUGGUUCAUAUGAUCCAGCAGAAUUUCACAUCAAAUUAGAUUUAUAAUGAGGAUAUGCAAAUUGUGGGAAGGAACAAGUCAACCAGUGAACCUCCUUGUCGAGAUGAUUUUCUAACUAUGCAGGAUAUUAAUAAUUUGCAUAGGAAGCAUUUGCUUUCAACUUAUUGACUACAUGAGAAUGAUGCACAACACGUAUUUAAAAAAACACAAAUCCCAAGAAAGUAUUUUUCUAUUAGAAAGGUGAUUGAGGUAAAGAUUAUUUUACCAUAGGGAUUCAAACACCUUGGCAACUGCAAAAAAUGGUGGACUUUGCAAAUAAUAAUUUGUUGAGUCUUGAUGCAACUUUUAAAACUAAUUAUUACAAGAUAAAAUUUUGGAAUUUCAACAGCACGUUGAUAGUUAUAAUAUAUCCUCCAAGCAAGCAAAACCUUUGGUGGAAAGAAUUACAAGUAAAAGAAAAGCUUCUAGUAGCCUAGAAGCAAUUCCUUUUACUAGGCAAAGGAACAACAAGAAAGAAAAGCUCUUUAAACAAAAAACUUAAUCUUAGCAAAGAAUAAAUUUAUAAAAAAACUCUUUAUGUACUUGCAUUGCAUAUGUUUAGAUUAGUGAGAAGAUUUCAUAGCAAAAGUGGAUCACCACUCCUAUUGUUGAUCAUGGUCAUCCAUGACACUCAUUGGCACGUAAAAAGGCAUCCAUGCAUGCGCUGAUUGAAAUUGGGGUUGUGGCCACUUGGAAAUAAUUAGGGCGCAUGCUAGGCGUGGGCAGGGAGUGCAGGUCGGGUGAUAGCUACAGGCGGGAGUGCGCAGCUGCAACAGAUGGGAGAGGCAUGAUGCCACAUCACUGCCAGGUAAGCAGAGAGAGAGAGAGAGAGAGUGAAUCAGGAUGGUGUUUAAUGGAAGGCACGAAGAGUGCUUUUAUUCUAGUAGUUAUGGUAUCAUGGAGAUUUUAAGCUUUUUAAGUUUAGAAAGUGCAUUGUGUUCAAAAUAGGAGUUUAAUUAACUUCCAUUUCAAAAUCAAAUUAAAUCCUCAGAGUGUCCAAGAGCCACUGGCGAUUAAGUCCCCCAGCUUGCAAAGCCGUCAUAUAAUCCUUAUAAACCAUAGGCUUAAACACUGGAGAGCCCUCCACCAAUUUGCUCGCUGGGUGCACCAAACUCUGCCAAUUUGGCCCUAUUGCCACUGGAAUGGACAUUCGAUCUUCACUGCUAUUAACCACAGCCCUGUGCUGGGCACUCUUAUACUUGUCAUUGCUCAAAAUCUGCAAGAGAAUAAAAAGAAAACAUUAACUUUGACCAGUCAGUCAAUGCUAGUGAACGAGAAAGAGUGAACGCUGACCUGGAUCUGGUCGCCCAGAUUGACCACGAACGAAUAAGGUAUGGGCUUCACGGAGUACCACUCGUUACCGUGCAUCACCUGGAGACCCUCGACGUGAUCUUGGAGCAGCAGCGUGAUCGAUCCGGGGUCCGAGUGUGGGCCGAUUCCCAGCACCAGAUCGGGCUCGGGGCAAGCAGGAUAGAAGUUGAGAGCCAUGACUUGCGAGCAGCCAUUGAAUGCCUUGUCGAUGUAAUCCUUUGGAAGAUCCAAGCUCUCGGAGAUGAGCUCCAGGAGGAACUUUGCAAGGUUGCGAACGCGAGUGGAGUAAUCGGCAGUAACUUUCCUAUAAGAUGAUCAUAUACCAGCGAUGUUAAGAAAGGACGGCGAGAAGGUAUUUAUACCUGUAAGAUGCUGGCUUUUCAGGCCAGAGUUCUUGCAUCUCGGCCAGUGGGAGGCAGCUAUGGCGGAGGUAAUCUCUCCAGCUAAAGACCUUGUCUUGUGUUACAUUGAAGCUGGUUCCAUACCUCAUUCGGGAUUCGGUGUCUGUGGAGAAGUAGCGCAUUUUCUCCUCGUUUGGGAGAGCGUGGAAUUCG